UGUAGGGGCUAUAAGGCGUGUUGAAAAUAAUCGUAGACGAAAUGAAAGAAAUAGACUUAGGCGAGAUGAAAUUAAUCGUUUACAAAAUGAAAGAAAUAGGCUAGAUCGAGA